GUAGUCUCGCACAGAUGCAUAUCAAUAAGCGGAGGAAAAGAAACUAACAAGGAUUCCCCUAGUAACGGCGAGUGAAGCGGGAAGAGCUCAAAUUUGAAAUCUUAAAGGGUUUCCCUUUACGAAUUGUAGUUUAAAGAAGUGUUUUCUGUUGAGGUUUUGGUAAAAGUUCUUUGGAAUAGGACAUCAUAGAGGGUGAGAAUCCCGUAUUUGACCUUUACUUUCAACUUUGUGAUACACUUUCAAAGAGUCGGAUUGUUUGGGAAUGCAGUCCAAAAUGGGUGGUAAAUUUCAUCUAAAGCUAAAUAUUGGCGAGAGACCGAUAGCGAACAAGUACCGUGAGGGAAAGAUGAAAAGAACUUUGAAAAGAGAGUUAAACAGUACGUGAAAUUGUCAAAAGGGAAGCGUUUAACACCAGUGUUGUUUUUCUGAAAAUCAAUUAAAGAACUGUUUAUGCUAAGCUGUUUAGACUUUAUCAGCUAACUGUUUAGUUUUGAGCUUUUCUUUAAUGCACUUUUCAGUUAACAAGUCAACAUCAAUUUCUUUUGCUGUAAAAAAGCUUGAGGAAGGUGGCUUGAGAUUCGUCUUAAGUGUUUAUAGCCUCUUGCCUAUGCAGUCGGAGAGAUUGAGGUCUGCAGCGUAGAUCCUUCGGGGCUAAAUGCAUUUGUGCUAAGUUAUAGCAUUUUAUAGACAACUUGUUGACUAUGAUUUGUCUUGUAGCUUACUCGCUUAUGUUAUUUUACCUACGCUUAGGAUGUUGAACUACUGAGACAUAG
rnacentral:rRNA from 1 species